rnacentral:rRNA from 1 species
ACGAUGCGUAGGGGUUCUGAGAGGAAGGUCCCCCACACUGGUACUGAGACACGGACCAGACUCCUACGGGAGGCAGCAGUGAGGAAUAUUGGUCAAUGGGAGAGAUCCUGAACCAGCCAAGCCGCGUGAGGGAAGACGGCCCUAUGGGUUGUAAACCUCUUUUGUCGGAGAACAAAACCCGGGACGUGUCCCGGACUGCGUGUAUCCGAAGAAAAAGCAUCGGCUAACUCCGUGCCAGCAGCCGCGGUAAUACGGAGGAUGCGAGCGUUAUCCGGAUUUAUUGGGUUUAAAGGGUGCGUAGGCGGUCUGUUAAGUCAGCGGUAAAAUUGCGGGGCUCAACCCCGUCGAGCCGUUGAAACUGGCAGACUUGAGUUGGCGAGAAGUACGCGGAAUGCGCGGUGUAGCGGUGAAAUGCAUAGAUAUCGCGCAGAACUCCGAUUGCGAAGGCAGCGUACCGGCGCCAGACUGACGCUGAGGCACGAAAGCGUGGGGAUCGAACAGGAUUAGAUACCCUGGUAGUCCACGCAGU